rnacentral:misc_RNA from 1 species
AAGAAAUUUUUUACUCUUUAGCUGGUUAGUAAGAUACAAUUCACUCACUCUUUCAGAUCAAUUUCUGAAUCAUCUCAAUAUAGUAGUUCAGAAUCAUCCAUCAUUCAAUAAAUUGAGCAUGUUACUGCUCAACCAUCUACUAUAUUUUGCUAAGAUAUUGGCCCAUGCUGAACUCUCUGCUUAAUUCUUGAUGCAGAAUUUUUUUUUUCUUUGGAAUUUUGGUUCUGGAUCUGAAUUGUAUCACCAUU